rnacentral:rRNA from 1 species
UACGGAGGGGGCUAGCGUUGUUCGGAAUUACUGGGCGUAAAGCGCGCGUAGGCGGACCUGCAAGUCGGGGGUGAAAGCCCGAGGCUUAACCUCGGAACUGCCUUCGAUACUGCGGGUCUCGAGUCCGGGAGAGGUGAGUGGAAUUCCUAGUGUAGAGGUGAAAUUCGUAGAGAUUAGGAAGAACACCAGUGGCGAAGGCGGCUCGCUGGCCCGGUACUGACGCUGAGGCGCGAAAGCGUGGGGAGCAAACAGG